AUGGAAAAAAAUAAGAGUCUAGGUCCUGAUGGAUUACCUGUAGACUUUUAUCAACAAUUUUGGGAUUUGGUAAAGUGGGAUCUCGAGGGAUUGCUUGAUGGAUUUCACUCUGGUACUUUAGAUAUAACAAGGCUAAACUAUGGGACCAUUACUUUGGUCCCAAAAGUUAAAGAUGCUAAACAAAUACAAAAAUUUAGACCAAUUUGUCUACUCAAUGUGAGCUUUACGAUCAUUACAAAAGUGAUGAUGAAUAGAUUGAGCAAAGUCAUUAAACCUAUAAUCUCUCCAACAUAA
rnacentral:rRNA from 1 species